GUACCUUUCUCGGCCUUUUGACUAAGAUCAAGUGUAAUAUCUUAUCAAUUUAAUAUUUGAUGUGUACCAUCGGUCCAUAUGAUAUUAAAUUUAUUUUUUGAGGGGAAAGACUCGACAAAGUAGCUUGCUACUUGGGUGUUCAUGCGUCGCCUUUGUGUUGCACUAUUGCAUUGGCCAGGUGCACCCCAC